UCAAAAUCCCUCUUCCGAACUCGAAAGGCUACUUCAGCUUCAAGGAGGGCUUCCUGCUUGCUUAGUCUUUUGAGGUCCAGCCACCUGGGAGGCCUCCGUGUCCGAGCAGCGCAGGUCUAGAGCAGUUUCACAUACAGAUGUGUCUCCCUGUCCAACUGCACAAGAAGUUGCUGACCUCAUUGCAAAGACAGCAGAAGGUCCAGACGGGGGUCUUCUUCCUGUCUGGUCAGCUGAUGGUUCAGCAUGUUUUGAUGUCACUUGAUCCAUCUUUCCAGCCCUCCUCCACUUCUUGAGAGCUUCGGUCCUCUCCUCCGGAGUGAGUCUGUCAAAGUGCUUAGCUCUCAGAAUUGGAGACGGAAACAGGGAUCCCUGCAGAACUCUGUAUACAAACCUGAGUUAGAAAGAACAUCACCGAAUUAAAUUCACCUCAAAGGCAUCAUGGGACACACAAAUGAUACUGACCAAUUAGAAAAAAUAAAAUGAUUUGGUGGCCACUUAGCUCCUGAGUAAAGGGGGAGAGUAAGUGAACUAUAAAAUGGAGAUAGAAACAAUAUUAAGUAAUAGUUGUAAAGCACUUAGAAAAUACUACGUGCAGUUCCCCUCAGCCAGUUCCCAGAAGGAGCACCCCACGCCUUCCAGAGCCACACGGUCAUGGUGGAAACAGAAGCCCAGAGGGAGGCAGGUGCAGGAGGCUGACAGCUGCCUCCACCUCGGCAGAACAAUUCUGACAAGUCUGGGAGCUCAUGGUUGGUCAGCAAUGAGGAGCUAACCAGAAAAAAAUGGUGGAUAUCAGACUUCCCAGCCUUCAGGACUGUGAGCCAAUCAAUUUCUCUUUGUAAAUUGCCCAGUCUGGGGUAUUCCAUUGUAGCAGCACAAAAUCACCCAAGAUAAAGGCAACAUCCUCGGGAGAUGGCAGAACAAAAAGGGAGAGAAAGGGUUCUAGGUCCUUGAAUAACCUCAUGAAGAAAGGCUGCCCUAACCCUGUGAACUGUCAACAGAUUAGACAUGUUAAGGAGAGAAACUCAAACCUCCCAGUUUGCUUAAUGAAACCAUUUUUUUCUCCAAUAAAACAGUUAAAGCCAGUAUUUUAACCAGUACGCAGACUGACUUCCCUGCUACUGAACAGGCUGGUCUGCCAACCAUUCCUAGUAGCGGCUCAAAGGAGUCUAAGCCUAGGACUCCAUUUACCCUCUGGAUGAUAGAACCCGCACACUGUACCUGGGCAGAAGAGCCACGCAGGUGGUGAGGAUGCAAACUAAGUAGAACACCGGAUCCAGCAUGUGCUCCUGCAUAAUCCAGUAGGGGUUGGACGGUGGGUUGCAAGUGACGCACAUGGCUCCAAAAGCCAAGGCAAAGAGGAAGUAAGACACGACACUGCUGACGAUGACCAGCAUGUGGAUCCACGUCUGCGAGACAAGAGGAGCAAAGGACAUGAAUCCUCUCCCACCGACAGGGUGUGGCCUGGCAACACUGCUCCACUACAGAGAGAACACACCUGAGCACCGCACGAACGGUCUAGCAGAACACAGCAGACCGAGGAGUGACGAAGAAGUUCCCUUUGGGGACAAUUCCAGAUAUCACGGUUACAAGAUGCACCCUGGGCCACAGAGCUGCCCCUCAGAGGACAAUUCCUUCUAGAGCUGUCUGGAACAUCAGCCAACUUUAUGUGAGCAAGAAAGAAAUCUUUGUGUGUCACAGCAGAACCUAGGUUGAGCUGAUACAAGGAUGUUAAAGUCGAGGAACAUGUGGUAGAAACUGACCAUGAAGUGGGAAGGAGAUGGCAUGAAGAGCUUAACAGAGACACCGCUAAUAGAAGACAUUUCCCCAACCACAAAGGGUUUCAGGAUCCUUCAGAGGCAGGAAAACCACUCACCAAACUCUUGCUUUCAAUGACCAGAUGGAGGAGAAUGAUGAACAGCGCAGCUGUGUUCAGGGGGUUUCCAAAAGUAAAGAUGUCAAUGUCGGAGCCCCGGUAGGUCUACAAAGAGAGGACAACAGAGGGUAAUCCUGGAGAGCUGUGCAUGCUCGCCGUAACACUACUCUAGCUACAGCUCAACGGAGGCUUAUGUCUCUUCUACAACAUCCCUAUGAACCGGUCCUUUAAGAUAAACUUCAGCAUUUCCAGAAGAGAGAUGCUAAUUCUCUCCUAGAUAGGCCACCUAAUCUUCACACUUUGCAGUUGGAAUUCUUCUUUAUUCUGAACCACAAUUGAUCUUCCUGAAACCUUUUACUCACACUUCUAGCUCUUUAAGGUAAAGAGAAAUUUUUUCCACUUAACAGAGCUUCAAAACUGUGAAGCAGUUAUUAGGACUACUCUAAGUUUGUAUCUCUCCUAGGUAACUAUACCCUCCUCUCCUCUGUAUGUCUUCAUGUUCUUAUCUUUCACCAUCGUUUUCAUCCUCUCCUGAAUCCACUUCAGAUUGCCUUGUCUGUGUAUUUCUCUUGAACUGCAGUACAGCCAGAAUGCUCUAGUGAGGCUAAUUCAAACAAUCAUUUAAAUAUUUUGAAUAAUAUUUGAAUAAAGAAUGAAGAUUGUUAACUUAGAGACUAACAUUUUUUUCUUUGUUAAUACUGUACUCUGUUAAUACCAUCCAUGAUAAAACAACUGUU